GCUGACAGUAAACUGUACCACCGCGUGGCACCUGCCCAGGAAGCAACAACACGUUUCCUGCCAGCCUUGGAGGAAGGGGAUCCGAUUAGACUCCAAGGCUGACAGUAAACUGUACCACCGCGUGGCACCUGCCCAGGAAGGAACAACACGUUUCCUGCCAGCCUUGGAGGAAGGGGAUCCGAUUAGACUCCAAGGCUGACAGUAAACUGUACCACCGCGUGGCACCUGCCCAGGAAGGAACAACACGUUUCCUGCCAGCCUUGGAGGAAGGGGAUCCGAUUAGACUCCAAGGCUGACAGUAAACUGUACCACCGCGUGGCACCUGCCCAGGAAGGAACAACACGUUUCCUGCCAGCCUUGGAGGAAGGGGAUCCGAUUAGACUCCAAGGCUGACAGUAAACUGUACCACCGCGUGGCACCUGCCCAGGAAGGAACAACACGUUUCCUGCCAGCCUUGGAGGAAGGGGAUCCGAUUAGACUCCAAGGCUGACAGUAAACUGUACCACCGCGUGGCACCUGCCCAGGAAGGAACAACACGUUUCCUGCCAGCCUUGGAGGAAGGGGAUCCGAUUAGACUCCC